rnacentral:rRNA from 1 species
UCGGCGAACGGGUCGAGUAACGCGUGAGCCGANCUAUCCUUUGUUGGGGGAUAACGUCAGGAAACUGANGCUAAUACCGCGUAAGGCUUCUGGACUGCAUGGUNUGGAAGCGAGAGGAGAAAUCCCGGCGAAGGAGGGGNCUCGCGUCCCAUUAGAUAGUUGGCGGGGUAACGGCCCACCAAGUCUGCGAUGGGUAGCCGACCUGAGAGGGUGAUCGGCCACACUGGAACUGAGACACGGUCCAGACUCCUACGGGAGGNAGCAGUGGGGAAUAUUGGGCAAUGGGCGAAAGCNUUACCCAGCAACGCCGCGUGAGAGAAGAAGGUUUUCGGAUUGUAAAUCUCUGUCCUUGGGGAAGAANAAAGUGACNGUACCCAANGAGGAAGCCCNCCGGNUAACUANNGUGCCAGCAGCCGCCGGUAAGACGUANGGGGCGAGCGUUGUCCGGAAUUACUGGGCGUAAAGGGCGCGUAGGCGGNCAUGCAAGUCANGNNUGAAAGUCCCCGUUUUCAAGAUGGGGAGUGCGCCUUGAUACUGNGUGGCUUGA